GCUUAUGGCCAUACCAGCCUGGCUAUGCCCGAUCUUGUCUGAUCUCGAAGCUAAGCAGGUUUUGGGCCUGGUUAGUGCCUGGAUGGGAGACCGCCUGGGAAUGCCAGGUACUCUAAGCU
rnacentral:rRNA from 1 species